UUGAACGAAUUAAUUACAAGACAUUUAUCAUCAUGUAACUUCUUUUAACCUUGAGUGUAAUUGAAAAAGUUCUUCAUGGAGGUCAAAGUAUCUUUAAAACAGCGUCUUGCAUCCCUAUCUAAAAUGUAUUAUGAUGUACCAAGUAGUUUUGCUCUAUAACAAAGACUUUAUGCAUUUAAUCUGCAUUCAACAGUUUAUUAUCCUUAAGGAGCUUAGUUAUAGCAUUGGAUUUUGGUCAGUGGUUCCCACACUUUUUGAUGACAACGUUUACCAAGUCGUAGUGACCCCGAAGAAACAAAAUCAGUUGAGAUGAUUCCCCUUCACUGUAUUUUUGGAGCUAACAAGUGACGAUGUUAUUAGAUAAGGAUAUUAUCUAAUUAUAAUAGUAGACUAAUUAAAAUUUAUUGCUUAAAAUUUCAGAUUGCCCAUGAGAAAUCGAGAGA
rnacentral:lncRNA from 1 species